rnacentral:rRNA from 1 species
UUAAAUUGAAGAGUUUGAUCAUGGCUCAGAUUGAACGCUGGCGGCAGGCCUAACACAUGCAAGUCGAACGGUAACAGGAAGCAGCUUGCUGCUUCGCUGACGAGUGGCGGACGGGUGAGUAAUGUCUGGGAAACUGCCUGAUGGAGGGGGAUAACUACUGGAAACGGUAGCUAAUACCGCAUAACGUCGCAAGACCAAAG